rnacentral:rRNA from 1 species
GAUUGCAGGCUGCAACCCGCCCUGCAUGAAGUCGGAAUUGCUAGUAAUCGCGGAUCAGCAUGCCGCGGUGAAUACGUUCCCGGGCCCUUGUACACACCGCCCGUCACACCAUGGGAGCCGGUAAUACCCGAAGUCAGUAGUCCAACCUCGUGAGGACGCUGCCGAAGGUAGGAUUGGCGACUGGGGUGAAGUCGUAACAAGGUAUC